UGCCGUGGAGCAACUAAGCCCGUGUGCCACAACUACUGAGUCUGCGCUCUACAGCCCACGAGCCACAACUACUGAGCCCGCGUGCCACAACUACUGAAGCCCGUGGGCCUAGAGCCCGUGCUCUGCAACAAGAGAAGCCACCGCAGUGAGAAGCCCGUGCGCCACAACGAAGAGUAACCCCCGCUCACCGCAACUAGAGAAAGCCGCGCACAGCAACGAAGAACCAAAGCAGAAAAAAAAAAAAAAAAAAAAGGAAUAGUGAAAACAGGAUGAAGAUAAUGGGCAGGAUUAUCCAACCUGCCUGCAUUUUUUCUGCUGUGAUAUUCCUCCUGCAUGGGUGUGAUUACACAGAAAGUGACAAGAGAUACUGUGUGAAUCCAGUGAAGAUAAAUGUCAUCAUCACAGCAGGAAGUUAAAAUGGGACUUGAUGAUGCAGAAAAUGGCGUUCAAGUCAGUGGAUACUGACCAGGCCUGUCAGCAGUCUGCCUGAAAAUAACAAGGAGGAAUUUUUUAAAAUAAAUUUAUUUAUUUAAUUUA